AGAACCCCGGCGAGGGGAGUGAAAAAGAACCUGAAACCGUGUACGUACAAGCAGUGGGAGCCUCUUUAUGGGGUGACUGCGUACCUUUUGUAUAAUGGGUCAGCGACUUAUAUUCUGUAGCAAGGUUAACCGUAUAGGGGAGCCGCAGGGAAACCGAGUCUUAACUGGGCGUUAAGUUGCAGGGUAUAGACCCGAAACCCGGUGAUCUAGCCAUGGGCAGGUUGAAGGUUGGGUAACACUAACUGGAGGACCGAACCGACUAAUGUUGAAAAAUUAGCGGAUGACUUGUGGCUGGGGGUGAAAGGCCAAUCAAACCGGGAGAUAGCUGGUUCUCCCCGAAAGCUAUUUAGGUAGCGCCUCGUGAACUCAUCUUCGGGGGUAGAGCACUGUUUCGGCUAGGGGGUCAUCCCGACUUACCAACCCGAUGCAAACUACGAAUACCGAAGAAUGUUAUCACGGGAGACACACGGCGGGUGCUAACGUCCGUCGUGAAGAGGGAAACAACCCAGACCGCCAGCUAAGGUCCCAAAGUCAUGGUUAAGUGGGAAACGAUGUGGGAAGGCACAGACAGCCAGGAUGUUGGCUUAGAAGCAGCCAUCAUUUAAAGAAAGCGUAAUAGCUCACUGGUCGAGUCGGCCUGCGCGGAAGAUGUAACGGGGCUAAACCAUGCACCGAAGCUGCGGCAGCGACGCUUAUGCGUUGUUGGGUAGGGGAGCGUUCUGUAAGCCGUUGAAGGUGGCCUGUGAGGGUUGCUGGAGGUAUCAGAAGUGCGAAUGCUGACAUAAGUAACGAUAAAGCGGGUGAAAAGCCCGCUCGCCGGAAGACCAAGGGUUCCUGUCCAACGUUAAUCGGGGCAGGGUGAGUCGACCCCUAAGGCGAGGCCGAAAGGCGUAGUCGAUGGGAAACAGGUUAAUAUUCCUGUACUUGGUGUUACUGCGAAGGGGGGACGGAGAAGGCUAUGUUAGCCGGGCGACGGUUGUCCCGGUUUAAGCAUGUAGGCUGGUUAUCCAGGCAAAUCCGGAUAAUCAAGGCUGAGGUGUGAUGACGAGGCACUACGGUGCUGAAGUAACAAAUGCCCUGCUUCCAGGAAAAGCCUCUAAGCAUCAGGUAACAUCAAAUCGUACCCCAAACCGACACAGGUGGUCAGGUAGAGAAUACCAAGGCGCUUGAGAGAACUCGGGUGAAGGAACUAGGCAAAAUGGUGCCGUAACUUCGGGAGAAGGCACGCUGAUAUGUAGGUGAAGCCCCUGCGGGUGGAGCUGAAAUCAGUCGAAGAUACCAGCUGGCUGCAACUGUUUAUUAAAAACACAGCACUGUGCAAACACGAAAGUGGACGUAUACGGUGUGACGCCUGCCCGGUGCCGGAAGGUUAAUUGAUGGGGUUAUCCGUAAGGAGAAGCUCUUGAUCGAAGCCCCGGUAAACGGCGGCCGUAACUAUAACGGUCCUAAGGUAGCGAAAUUCCUUGUCGGGU
rnacentral:rRNA from 1 species